rnacentral:rRNA from 1 species
UACGUAGGUGGCAAGCGUUGUCCGGAUUUACUGGGCGUAAAGGGCGUGCAGGCGGUUUGUUAAGUGCAGGGUGAAAGCUCCCGGCUCAACUGGGAGAGGUCCUUGCAUACUGGCAAACUCGAGGGAGGCAGAGGAAAGUGGAAUUCCCGGUGUAGUGGUGAUAUGCGUAGAUAUCGGGAAGAACACCUGUGGCGAAGGCGGCUUUCUGGGCCUUACCUGACGCUGAGACGCGAAAGCGUGGGGAGCGAACCGG